rnacentral:rRNA from 1 species
UGGGGAAUUUUGGACAAUGGGCGCAAGCCUGAUCCAGCCAUGCCGCGUGCGGGAAGAAGGCCUUCGGGUUGUAAACCGCUUUUGUCAGGGAAGAAAUCUUCUGAGUUAAUACCUCGGGAGGAUGACGGUACCUGAAGAAUAAGCACCGGCUAACUACGUGCCAGCAGCCGCGGUAAUACGUAGGGUGCAAGCGUUAAUCGGAAUUACUGGGCGUAAAGCGUGCGCAGGCGGUUUUGUAAGACAGAGGUGAAAUCCCCGGGCUCAACCUGGGAACUGCCUUUGUGACUGCAAGGCUUGAGUGCGGCAGAGGGGGGAUGGAAUUCCGCGUGUAGCAGUGAAAUGCGUAGAUAUGCGGAGGAACACCGAUGGCGAAGGCAAUCCCCUGGGCCUGCACUGACGCUCAUGCACGAAAGCGUGGGGAGCAAACAGGAUUAGAUAGCCCUGGUAGUCCACGCCCUAAAACGAUGUCAACUGGUUGUUGGGAAGGUUCCUUCUCAGUAACGUAGCUAACGCGUGAAGUUG